AACGAACGCUGGCGGCAUGCCUAACACAUGCAAGUCGAACGAGAACUCCGGGUCUAGCGCCGCUCGGGUGCGUACCGCCUGGGGACCAGCCCUUAGGUUAGGUAUCAUUGAGUGAAAUUUGAGCUAAUAACGGAUAAUGUCAUCGGACAAAAAAUCUCUCGCCUUUCGAUGGGCCCGCGUUGGAUUAGCUAGUGGGUGGGGUAAAGGCCUACCAAGGCGACGAUCCAUAGCUGGGCUGGUAGGAAGAUCAGCCACACUGGAACUGAGACACGGACUAGACUGCUACGGAAGGCAGCAGUGGGUAAUAUUAGACAAUGGACGAAAGCCUAAUCCAGCAAUGCCGCGUGAGUGAUGAAGGGCUUAGGGUUGUAAAUCUCGUUGACCCGAGAUGAUAAUGACAGUAUCGGGAGAAUAAGCUCCGGCUAACUCCGUGCCAGCCGCCGCAGUAA
rnacentral:rRNA from 1 species